UACGAAGGGGGCUAGCGUUGUUCGGAAUUACUGGGCGUAAAGCGUGCGCAGGCGGCUUCUCAAGUCAGGGGUGAAAGCCCAGAGCUCAACUCUGGAAUUGCCUUUGAAACUGAGUGGCUUGAGUACGAGAGAGGUGAGUGGAAUUCCCAGUGUAGAGGUGAAAUUCGUAGAUAUUGGGAAGAACACCGGUGGCGAAGGCGGCUCACUGGCUCGUAACUGACGCUCAUGCACGACAGCGUGGGGAUCAAACAGG
rnacentral:rRNA from 1 species